GAGGGUAUAGCUCAGUGGUAGAGCACAUGCUUAGCUUGCACAAGGCCCUGGGUUCAAUCCCCAGUACCUCCA
rfam:Camelus ferus unplaced genomic scaffold scaffold1056, whole genome shotgun sequence.